GCACGAAACUUGCCCCGAGAUGAGUUCUCCCUGAGACUUAGAGUCUCCUGAAGGAACGUUGAAGACGACGACGUUGAUAGGCCGGGUGUGUAAGCGCAGCGAUGCGUUGAGCUAACCGGUACUAAUGAACCGUGAGGCUUAACCUUACAACGCCGAAGCUGUU
rnacentral:rRNA from 1 species